rnacentral:rRNA from 1 species
GGGGGAGUGGUCGAAGGUGGGAUUGGCGAUUGGGACGAAGUCGUAACAAGGUAGCCGUACCGGAAGGUGCGGCUGGAUCACCUCCUUU